GCGGCCAGGCUGUGACAUCUGUCACUCCAGUGAUCACCAGGGUUGGUGACCAGCUGAUCUGGCUGGCUGGGCAGGUGUCCCCUUCCUC
rnacentral:sRNA from 1 species